UACGAAGGGGGCUAGCGUUGUUCGGAAUUACUGGGCGUAAAGCGCGCGUAGGCGGUGAUCUUUGUCAGAGGUGAAAUCCCGAGGCUCAACUUCGGAAUUGCCUUUGAAACGGGAUCGCUUGAGUCCGAGAGAGGAUGGCGGAAUUCCUAGUGUAGAGGUGAAAUGCGUAGAUAUCGAGAGGAACACCAGUGGCGAAGGCGAGUCCCUGGACAACACCUGACACUGAGGCACGAAAGCUAGGGGAGCAAACAGG
rnacentral:rRNA from 1 species